UACGUAGGGCGCAAGCGUUGUCCGGAAUUAUUGGGCGUAAAGAGCUCGUAGGCGGUCUGUCGCGUCGGCUGUGAAAACCCGAGGCUCAACCUCGGGCCUGCAGUCGAUACGGGCAGACUAGAGUGCUGUAGGGGAGACUGGAAUUCCUGGUGUAGCGGUGAAAUGCGCAGAUAUCAGGAGGAACACCGGUGGCGAAGGGGGGUCUCUGGGCAGUAACUGACGCUGAGGAGCGAAAGCGUGGGGAGCAAACAGG
rnacentral:rRNA from 1 species